rnacentral:rRNA from 1 species
GUGUUGGGUUAAGUCCCGUAACGAGCGCAACCCUUGUCCUUAGUUACCAGCACGUUAUGGUGGGCACUCUAAGGAGACUGCCGGUGACAAACCGGAGGAAGGUGGGGAUGACGUCAAGUCAUCAUGGCCCUUACGGCCUGGGCUACACACGUGCUACAAUGGUCGGUACAAAGGGUUGCCAAGCCGCGAGGUGGAGCUAAUCCCAUAAAACCGAUCGUAGUCCGGAUCGCAGUCUGCAACUCGACUGCGUGAAGUCGGAAUCGCUAGUAAUCGUGAAUCAGAAUGUCACGGUGAAUACGUUCCCGGGCCUU